UUUUGGGCUUUAAGUUAAACCUACAUUGCUCUCACCGUCUCCUCGGAAGGGUUUUCUUUGUGUCUGUAUCUGUAUUUGUCUUUCUGAAGCUUUAGUCGAUCGUCCAUGGCCAACUCCUCCGCCAGCUCCGCCGCAAGCCGCUACCAUAACCUCUCCAUCAAUCCGUCGAAUCAUAUCUUCAAAGAUGUCCAGGGUUCUGACAAUCUGGUUCCGCUUUCACCUCAGUGGCUUCUGCCAAAAACAGGGGAGAGCAAGACAGGAAUGGGAACUGGAGAAGGAAAGGUCCUGCAACAUCCCUAUAGCAGUCGCUUGGUUGCUG